GGUUAAGGGUCAAAUAUAUCCUUAUACUAUUAAAAAUAGGUUUGACCCUUAACCGUUUAAAAAAUAUUGAUAUCCAAAUAUAUAUUACGGUUAAGGGUCAAAUAUAUCCUUAUACUAUUAAAAAUAGGCCAUAUUUAUUCUCCGUUUGAAUUCUUUAUCAAAUAUGUCCCCACCGUUAUACAUUAGGGCCAUAUAUAUCCCUCAGCCGUUAGAACACUCUCCCAUAUAUUUAAAUUACGGUUAAGGGUCAAAUAUAUCCUUAUACUAUUAAAAAUAGACCAUAUUUAUCCUCCGUUUGAAUUUUUUAUCACAUAUGUCCCCACCGUUAUA
rnacentral:lncRNA from 1 species